GGGGUGGGCAGCUCUGCUAGGUGAGCAGAAAGCUCAGGCUGGCGGGGAUGGCAAAGGAGCUGCUCUCGGACCCCCCAUCCCGUGUGUGGGGAAUGGGAAUGGCAGGACUGUAGUUGAGCUUUGGGAGCCCGAGAAGGAAGGACACUGGGGCUGGGCUGAUCCAGGACAGCUUCCUGGAGGAGGUGGGAUUUAAACUGGUCAGUGAGAAUUUGCAUUUGCUUCAGCUGGGCACCUGAAGGCAUCAGUAAUCUGGUGCCUUCGACCAGAUUCACCUCCGACCACAUUCAGGCUCCAUGAAACCCUUCUGGGUGUGAGGCACAGAGCUCAACACGCUGCUGGUCCUUAAAAAAAGAACCACAUGAGGGCAAUCAUGAGAGGACAGUGGUGCUAUGUGAAGAAGAAAUGAAACUCACCCAUAAUAAAGGAGAUGAAAGUCCUAGUUCUUAGAUGGCCUCAAAGUUUAGAAAACUUCACGCGUACUCAGAGAGAAGAGAGGGGCUGGGUGGGGCUGCAGAGUCCCCUCACGGCCUGUUUUCAUUGAAUAACAUCUUAUAUUUCUAUGUGGUAAUGUCACUGUUAACACGCACUUCUCAUUGUUAGAAAUAAAAACGACUCAAAGAUGUGAAA